rnacentral:rRNA from 1 species
UACGAAGGGGCUAGCGUUGCUCGGAAUUACUGGGCGUAAAGGGAGCGUAGGCGGGUUAUCAAGUUGGAGGUGAAAGCCCAGGGCUCAACCUUGGAAUUGCCUUCAAACUGAUAGCCUAGAGUAUGAUAGAGGUAUGUGGAACUCCGAGUGUAGAGGUGAAAUUCGUAGAUAUUCGGAAGAACACCAGUGGCGAAGGCGACAUACUGGGUCAUGACUGACGCUGAGGCUCGAAAGCGUGGGGA